CCGAUAGGACUUUGUUCAUCCCGUGUUUCAUGUUGGCACGCAGCACAAUGGAAAAGACUGAGAUUGAGCCACCAGAAGGAUGACGAUGACAGGUGCAAGGCCUCAAGUCACCAAAGAGCAAGCAACUGACUGAAAGUUCAGGUGAAAAGUAUAAAGAAGAGAGGAGCACUGGCUUGCAGGCUGUGUGAGUGACAUGUUUCCCCGCACAGCAGAACACUACAUCACCCAGGGGAAGCCUGUGGCAGAGUUGCAGCCCCAGCCCUGCAGAGUGUUUUGGGCAGUGCAGCUGGAGUCAGGUGAGGGAUGGUUGUCAGGUUAGCGUCACACCGGGCCAAGCCUCGCUCUCGCAGCGUGGAGCAGUGUAUUGCAGCUGGCCAAAAGACAGACUGUGAGCCCUGGCUGUCAACAUCUGCUCCAGAGACUGUACCAUCUGCCCGAGGCCCCGGGGGGAGCAUCCCUCCUGUCUCAGACCAGCUGCAGAGCCCCAGACGUGGACCUGAGCGGUCGUGCAGAGGCAGAGAACAGGUCCAAGACACAGUCAGAGCCACUGAGCACAGGGACAUUCGUCUCACACGCUCAGCCAUGUUUUAUCUGCAGGGUGUGAUCACAGUGAGGUUUAGAUAAACAAACUUUCUGCUCCUCUUGACUAAUCUUUUACUAUUUAGUGCCAGAGGAUGAAGGUGCUGCCUACUGAUAGCGCAAUUUAAGAGGAACUUAGAAAUCAUAUAUCCAUACGGUGGGAUUACAAGUUACUUUGAACUGAAGCAGCCUUGUGCGAAAGGUUACAGAAUUCUACGAGAAAAAGCAAGAAAUGAAGGACGAGGAAGAACAUGAUCAUGUGGAAAUAGAAAGACUUAGAGGGCAUGUCUAUGAAAUACAUAACUGCAGGAGAAAAGGUUAGAAAAAAGAUGGAAAUGUGUUUUUUUUCCUUUCUAAAUACACUUCUUGAUACUGUCCUUUCUGUUAACAUGUCUGGGCGCAGUACUCGCUAAUUUCACAAUACUGUUUAUUUAGCCAAAUAUGAGGAUUAAUUACUCUUUUCUUGCCUAUCCAGUUUAUUUGUGUGCCUCCUAGCGCUUUAAGAUUUCACAAUAAAAGAGGAAUCAACACAGUUUAUUGUUAAGACCUUUUAUUUCAUCAAUUUGAAAGAAACAAGUAAAAACAGUGUACAAAGUUUAUAUUAUUUGUUUACUAAAGCUGGUGUCCUCAGUCUCAGGAAUAUGGGAGGGCAGGUACAAAAAAAAAAAAAAAAAGGUAGAAAUAAAAACAAAAGUAUAAAAUGAAUUUCCCUAUUUUCAGAAGGCGACAGCAAAGGGUGCGCGUGCAUAGGAAUAAGUAACAAUCAGAUUCAGAAACUGAACAAAAGGUUUGCAACGAUUGAAAUGAAAACAAUACCAUUAAAAAAAAAAAACCAUUACAUUCAAUAACGUAUGAUGCACUUUUGAAAAAUGAUUAUCUGUCAUCUCAACAAAUCUGAAGCGCUUUUAGGGAAAUUCUUGGUACACUCUGAAAUAGUAGUUUCAGUUUCCAAGAGUCUCAGUUUAGCCUCAGCCAUCUGUAAAAGGGGAGAAAUCAUUCAAACAAGCGAUUCUUGUUUUAUUUGUAUCCACAACAUUUGAAUUUACAUUAUAAAAGAAGCUAAAUUAGUCUUUACCAACCAUGAAGUACAAAUAAGAGUCCAAAUACAAUCAUUUUGGGGCAGCAAAGUGCAUAUCAUUGGCACAGUAAAACUCAUUUUAGUCAAUGCUGGUCUCAUAUAAAUAACUCAGAAGCUCGUGAAGGGACAGAAGUGCCCUAAAGUAGCAAAUCAAAGAUGACUUUGUGUGUUUUUCUUUUUCCCCCUGAAGCCCAGUUUGUUUGCAAAGUAUUCCUAAAGAAGUGUAUUCUCUUUAAGUGACCUCAUUGAGGCUGCAGUGAAUGCACUGGGUGGAAAACACCCAAUACUGUACUGUACAUGGAGGAAAAACCCAGAGGAGAUAAAGAGUUUCUGAUAGGUCAGCAACUGACUGACUCUGAUCAGAGGGAAACCAGGAGGUGUCUGCAGCACAGCAUCAAGAGAGGAAGGCAUCAGGAAGUAUAAGCACUUACUUCAGGGUGGGGGGGGGCUCGAGGAGCUAUUUAUUAUCCUGAACGAGAAGCUGGGAGGGUCUCUCAGUGACUUGGAUGUGCAAACAGUAAAGAGGAAUCUGUUGCAGGCCAGCUUUUACCUUAAUGAUUAAUCACUCUGCAUUCUUUGCAUGUCUG